rnacentral:tRNA from 2 species
GCAAGCAUGCCGAAAUUGGUAUACGGUUCCCGCUUAAGAUGGGAUGUUCUUUGAACGUGAGGGUUCAAGUCCCUCUGCUUGUA